rnacentral:rRNA from 1 species
UACGUAGGGGGCUAGCGUUGUCCGGAUUUAUUGGGCGUAAAGCGCGUGUAGGCGGCCAGAUAGGUCUGCUGUGAAAACUCGAGGCUCAACCUCGAGCUGUCGGCGGAAACCAUCUGGCUAGAGUCCGGAAGAGGAGAGUGGAAUUCCUGGUGUAGCGGUGAAAUGCGCAGAUAUCAGGAAGAACACCAAUGGCGAAAGCAGCUUUCUGGGACGGUACUGACGCUGAGACGCGAAAGCGUGGGGAGCGAACAGG